UACGGGGGGGGCAAGCGUUGUUCGGAAUUACUGGGCGUAAAGGGCUCGUAGGUGGCCAACUAAGUCAGACGUGAAAUCCCCAGGCUCAACUUGGGAACUGCGUCUGAUACUGGAUGGCUUGAAUUCGGGAGAGGGAUGCAGAAUUCCAGGUGUGAGCGGUGAAAUGCGUAGAUAUCUGGAGGAAUACCGGUGGCGAAGGCGGCAUCCUGGACCGAGAUUGACACUGAUGAGCGAAAGCUAGGGGAGCAAACGGG
rnacentral:rRNA from 1 species